rnacentral:rRNA from 1 species
UGGGGAAUAUUGGACAAUGGGGGGAACCCUGAUCCAGCCAUGCCGCGUGUGUGAAGAAGGUCUUAUGGUUGUAAAGCACUUUAAGCGAGGAGGAGGGUACUGGUAUUAAUACUACCAGGUACUGGACGUUACUCGCAGAAUAAGCACCGGCUAACUCUGUGCCAGCAGCCGCGGUAAUACAGAGGGUGCGAGCGUUAAUCGGAUUUACUGGGCGUAAAGCGCGCGUAGGUGGUUCGUUAAGUUGAAUGUGAAAGCCCCGGGCUCAACCUGGGAACUGCAUCCAAAACUGGCGAGCUAGAGUAGGGCAGAGGGUGGUGGAAUUUCCUGUGUAGCGGUGAAAUGCGUAGAUAUAGGGAGGAACACCAGUGGCGAAGGCGACCACCUGGGCUCAUACUGACACUGAGGUGCGAAAGCGUGGGGAGCAAACAGG